AUUUUGUAAAGCCAGCUAAUCUGAUUUCAGCUUGCAAUUACAGCCAGCUUUUGACAUUUUUGUGUGUAUUAUGCAUCAGAUGGUUUGUAGGCAGUCUGUGAGCGUGCCGUCUGAAGCUCAGACUAGAAUGGAGAUGGAGAUCUGUGGAGGGGCAGAGGAUCAGACAGACGGGAGGAACCAAGACUCAUUUACACAGAUGAACAUGUGGACGAAAGUCAGGUGGUUCCAGGUGCACCUAUCGUAGGCAUACUUUUCCUCCAGGCUGGGAACAUUGCCCCCUUGUAGUGCCUGAACUUCGGCUGAGUCGGGUGGCAGCCUCCCAUUUGUUAAAUGCUACAUGAGGUGACUGGAGCUUCUCUGCCCGUCGCUGAGAGGACAGAUGGAGAGGCCACGGAAUGUUCUGGAGAGCCGAUGGUAAUUACAAGCCAGUAGCAGAGCCGAUGGCUUCCGCAGGGAACAGGCCUGAGCGGAAGCGCUCGAGUGGCGUGGGGGGUUGUUUGCCCUUUGGCUGCUCAGCAUGCUGUUGCUCUGUGCGGUGAGCUCGUGUUGGGACUGCCGUCACUGCACAUUUCUCUGCUCUUCAUGUCAGGUGAGGUGUGUGUGGGAACAUGGUGACAUUUGUGAGCUUUUGUCAUUCACAAGGAGUUUAACUCUUCAGAUGUGUUUCCAGUUCUAUUCAUUUCAGUAGAUAACUGAUGGAAGUCGCAGAUGUGUACAAAAGAAUUUUAUGGAUCAGUCCACCCAAAAAUAAAAUAAUUAUCAUCAUUUACUCA
ensembl:lncRNA